rnacentral:rRNA from 1 species
AAAUUUGAAAGCUGGUACCUUCGGUAUCCGCGUUGUAACCUCGAGACACGUUUUCCGUGCGGCGCUAUGGACAAGUUCCUUGGAACAGGACAUCGUAGAGGGUGAAAAUCCCGUACUUGCCAUGGAUGUACCGUGCUUUGCGAUACGUGCUCUAAGAGUCGAGUUGUUUGGGAUUGCAGCUCAAAAUGGGUGGUAGACUCCAUCUAAAGCUAAAUAUCGGGGAGAGACCGAUAGCGAACAAGUACCGUGAGGGAAAGAUGAAAAGCACUUUGGAAAGAGAGUUAAAAGUACGUGAAAUUGUCGAAAGGGAAGCGCUUGAAGUCAGCCAUGCCGCUCAGGACUCAGCCUGGCUUUUGCUUGGUGUAUUUCCUGGGUAGCAAGUCAGCAUUGGUUUGGAUCGUCGGAGAAGCAUAGUUGGAAUGUGGCGCCCUCGGGCGUGUUAUAGCCUUCUAUUGGAUACGACGAUCUGGACCAAGGAACGCAGCGCGCCUUAUGGCGGGUCUUCGGACACCUUCGCGCUUAGGAUGCUGGCGUAAUGGCUUUAAGUGG